rnacentral:tRNA from 1 species
UAGAAUGGUGUAGUGGUUAGUGCUCCUGACUGUUAUGCUGAAGGUCCCGGGUUCGAUCCCCGGCAUGAAAU